GGUGAGGUGGCCUAGAGGUUAAGGCGCCUGGUAGAUAUGUUAAUCGAUCUGUAAAUAUCUCCAGGAGACUCCCGGUUCGAGUCCGGGCCUCACCA